rnacentral:piRNA from 1 species
UUCAUUUCACAGAUGGGAAAAACUGAGGCC